rnacentral:rRNA from 1 species
GACGAACGCUGGCGGCGUGCCUAAUACAUGCAAGUUGAGCGCUGAAGGUUGGUACUUGUUCCAACUGGAUGAGCAGCGAACGGGUGAGUAACGCGUGGGGAAUCUGCCUUUGAGCGGGGGACAACUUUUGGAAACGAAUGCUAAUACCGCAUAACAACUUUAAACACAUGUUUUAAGUUUGAAAGAUGCAAUUGCAUCACUCAAAGAUGAUCCUGCGUUGUAUUAGCUAGUUGGUGAGGUAACGGCUCACCAAGGCGAUGAUACAUAGCCGACCUGAGAGGGUGAUCGGCCACAUUGGGACUGAGACACGGCCCAGACUCCUACGGGAGGCAGCAGUAGGGAAUCUUCGGCAAUGGAGGAAAGUCUGACCGAGCAACGCCGCGUGAGUGAAGAAGGUUGUCGGAUCGUAAAACUCUGUUGGUAGAGAAGAACGUGGGUGAGAGUGGAAAGCUCAUCAAGUGACGGUAACUACCCAGAAAGGGACGGCUAACUACGUG